UGCCUUGUGUUAUAUUGGCUCCUACCAGAAAGGAAAAGGUUUUAUUGCAUUUUCUUAUCAAAAUGUCUCAUCAUCCAUUAGUGCCGGUUGUGGACUUGCACUAUGCAUUUCUGGAGGAUAAUGCUCGAUGAUUUUGGGGAAUAUGUCCAUGGAGUAUUCAAGUGAAUGACCAACAAGGCCAAAUUAAAGGAUGCAAUGGACCUAUAUUUAUGCAUUUUGGAUUGGCCUCUGCGUAUUACAGCCUAGACAACAAUACUACUUUACAAGACUCUGCUUCUGCAACUCAGAGAGAAAAAGAACGAAUUUCAAGGAGAGAACCUCAUCCAUCUUCUCCUGAAUCUGUCACAAUGCUGUAGAUGGCUGCGCUACUUGGUGUUUAUAGGGCCAGAUUGAACUAUUGAUUUUUUACAUGGAACUCCCCAUUGCCCUGAAGAAAUCAUACUAAGAAAAAGCAAAUGGCAUAAUAUAUGGUCCUUAAAGAUGAGCAAGACCUGAUUUAUCUGGCAUUUUGUUUUGUUUUCCAGUCUCUGAUUAUAGCAAUUAUUUGUUAGCAUGCACCACUUUCUUUAUUUUGCUUUCAACCUUUUCAUAGUAAAGUAGUUGAGAGAAGAUUGUUUUAGUUUUAUAGUAUUUAGAGAAUUGGUUACUGCUGUUUUCAUCUAUCAUUAAUGAAUGGAAAUUCUACUUAAUGAACUUUUUUUCAAUGUCAGUUCAAAUUGUUGACAAUUACAAUUACUAUGGCACCUCUGAGAAAGAAACUCAUGCUAUAACCUAAGCCAUUUUGGAGAGAUAAUAAAAAGCUGUUCCCAUAUUUCUGUGCAAAAAUGAGGCAAGGUGCUCUGAAUCACUGGUGGUUUUAUUUAAGGAAGGAAGAUGAAGUUGGCUGACUGAGUACUUUGCUUGAAGUAUAAGUAGGGUUCCCACAGUUCACACUGUGAUUUGUAAAAAAUGAACUCUAGAAGAAAAGGAAGGACAUGUACCAAGGGCAAGGCUCAUAGAAAAAAAAAAUGUUAUGAUUUAUCCCUUAGUGGCAUUGAACAUCUGCUGAGCUUUCUUUUGUCCCUCUCCCCUUCCCCCAUUUCUCUUUUUAAAAGCCCAUGAGACAAGCAGAUUGCUUGCUUUACAAACUUGGAAUCUGUUUUCUCCCUUCAGGAGAGAAAUGUGUUUCGGCAUCAGCAUGUCAUCACUAUGAUGUUUGCUGCAGGUUAUCCUGUUACUUCAAAGAUAACCCAGCACACUGUAGCUAACCUUGAAUUUGCCUGAACAUUUCCUGCUUUAGACUCAUGAAAGUCUCAUCAGGA